CAGCUGUAAACGAUGCAGACUAGGUGUUUGGACGGCCACGUGCCGUUCUAGUGCCGCAGGGAAGCUGUUAAGUCUGCCGCCUGGGGAGUACGAUCGCAAGAUUGAAACUUAAAGGAAUUGGCGGGGGAGCACCACAAGGGUGAAGCUUGCGGUUUAAUUGGACUCAACGCCGGAAAACUCAUCGGGAGCGACAGCAGUAUGAUUGCCAGGUUGAUGACCUUGCUUGACAAGCUGAGAGGUGGUGCAUGGCGUAGUCGUGU
rnacentral:rRNA from 1 species